rnacentral:tRNA from 1 species
CAGGACCAGUGGGCCUCGACCCCACAAAGUAUCAGUUAACAGCUGACCGCUCAAGCCAGAGAGCAUUAAUCCG